UAAGGAAUAUUGGUCAAUGGAGGGAACUCUGAACCAGCCAUGCCGCGUGCGGGAAGAAGGCCUUCGGGUUGUAAACCGCUUUUGUCGGGGAAGAAACGCUCUGGGCUAAUACCCUGGGGUAAUGACGGUACCUGAAGAAUAAGCACCGGCUAACUACGUGCCAGCAGCCGCGGUAAUACGUAGGGUGCAAGCGUUAAUCGGAAUUACUGGGCGUAAAGCGUGCGCAGGCGGCUUUGCAAGACAGAUGUGAAAUCCCCGGGCUCAACCUGGGAACUGCAUUUGUGACUGCAUGGCUAGAGUACGGUAGAGGGGGAUGGAAUUCCGCGUGUAGCAGUGAAAUGCGUAGAUAUGCGGAGGAACACCGAUGGCGAAGGCAAUCCCCUGGACCUGUACUGACGCUCAUGCACGAAAGCGUGGGGAGCAAACA
rnacentral:rRNA from 1 species